CAGCUCAUAUGGUUCUCCAUUCAGGCAUCGGGCACGACAGUAUAAAAUCUAGCAGCAGCAACUUUGUCUGCAAGCUUCCUUAAUAAUUGACUGUGCAUUACAUAUAUUAGCACCUCAACAUUAUAUGGCUUUACAUUAAUUUCACAUGGCAAUGUAGGAAUCUAGCAAGUUAGGUAGGUACACAAGGAUAUCAACCAUACGCCUAGAACAGGGAAGAAACAUCUGCAAAAUCAAUAAGUUCUAUAAUAACAAGUACACAUGAGUAAAAUCUUAUCCUAAUUUAGGAAGAAAACAGAGAUUAAGUACUUCAAGUUAGGAGCUUCAUAUCCUGCAUGGAUCAAACCAAAUGAGAAAAAUAAGAAUGCAAAAAUAAUAGUAGAUAUUUAUUUCUAUAAACAAGGAUAGAUUAGUGUACAACAUGUUGACAUGAUAUACAUGGGAUGCAAGUAUAUCCACUCCCACCAAUUACAACAAACCUAUAUCCCCUUUUAGGUUCUGAAAAUUAGCCAAAAGACUAUGUGACAUCUAUAUUUUAAUUAAGUACAGCUUCCCUUAUAGUGAAGAGAUUAAGAUCUAUCUUUUCAACAAACAUAAUCAAACUUUCCGAGAGUAUGUUUAACUCUCGAAUAGAAGAGAGGAUUCUUUAAUUUGAACUACAAAAAGAGAGAACUGUUUUUGCUCUCAUAAUCAAUAAAUAUAUAAAAAGGAACUUGCUUCACGUAAUGUUGAUCAUCAUCCUCGCUUCGGUUCUCAAAUACUUGGAUCACCUUCUAUCGGUUUCUUUAGUUAAAGGAAGAUAAAUAAAUGAAAAAAAAAAAGUGUGAAAUGACUUUAAACAAGAAAAACCUUUUUGCUAGAGGCAUGACAAUACUCAAGUCGCAUAUGCAAGAUGAGUAGCUUGAAAGCAACUAGCUUGGCAUCCACAAAAAAAUUGUUAAUUAACUUUUAAUCCCAAGAAAAACAGAAUAUGAAUAGAAGCUAAGAUGCCUUAAAAAUCAUGAAUACCAUAUUAAGCAAUAAGAUACAAACUUUGCAAUACCAUAAUCCCAUAAUAAUGAAUAUAAACAAACCCUUUCCAACUAGGCAGUGAAAUUAUAAUUACAAGUGUAUCAUUUUUCAUUUAGCCUGCAAACAAACAAAACUUAAUAAAGUGUCAAGAAAAGUGACACAAUACAUAUUCACGACCCAAAAAUACGUAUUCAAAUAAUUGAAAAGCAAAAGUUCUACUGCAAUAAAAA
rnacentral:lncRNA from 1 species